UGAGAAUUGAUUCUUUCUGUCCCACCCUGUCAUCUCCUCCUAGGACGAUAGGGGACUGCAUCCCAGAGAGAGAGAGCGGAGUGGCGUGAUCUACAGUCUCCACGAAGGACCACAAAGCCCAGCUGUUCGUGGCACCCCCGUCUUAAUGGCACAGCUCUGAAUCUGAAUCUGAUUCAGUGUCCUGUUCUCUCUAGAAGAACUGCUCUAGCGAUUAUGUAG
rnacentral:lncRNA from 1 species